rnacentral:tRNA from 1 species
CCGGGGUGGUGAAGUGGAAUCACGCCGUGGUGAGAAUAGCCAGGAGAACGCCAGUCCGAAUCUGGCCCCCGGCU